AGCACAUUUGGUCCCCCACGAUUGAGCUUCGUGCAAAAUGAGUCCCUAAACUAUUUUUUUAGCAUUAUUAGUCCCUCACGUUAUCUCCUGUUACUACACUUAGUCCUUCUGUUAGAUUUUAAACGGUUUUUGCUUUGGUGGAGUUUUUUUAAUGACUUGGAGGAGAGAGAAGAAAGUUAACAGGAGAGAGAAGUAGGACAUUAGGAGAGAGAGUUGCACAUGUUGAGUGCUGACUCUUCAAUUUUUUUAAAAAUCUCAAUUAAUAUUUUUUUCAAUUAGUAAAAAUCUCCCAAUUAAAAUUCUCAAAUCACGUUCAAUUUUUUUUCUUUCUCAAAUCCUCAUCUGGCUUCUUCAUCUUCAUAGGUUAAAUGUUCUUCAUCUUCACCAUCCUCAAAUCACCUUAGCCGAACCAGCAGACAAACCCCACCAACCCACUGCUCUCGAGCUUCACGGCAAGAAAUUCUGCAGCCAUCGCGCGUUCUACCUCGGCCAGCCAUCGGGGUUUGGAUGCUUGCUGUCUUGUUUUGAGCUCCAUGACGAUGAAUUGCUGUUAUGGCUUUUGGUGACAAACUCACUUGGCAUCAUCUCUCUUGUUAGAGGGAGAGUUUGGGAGUUUGUGUUGCCCUUCAUCUGGUUUAUUGCCAGUUUUUUUUCCUUUCUUUUUUGCUGUUUUGUUUCCUUGUCUUUCUUGCGUCUUCUGUCUCAUUGUUCUGAGCAUGAGUUUCACAAAUUGGGGGUUGUGAUUUGGGAUGAGGAAACCCUAGAUUUGGUUCUCAGCAUGAGUUUCUGAGCAUUGAUUUUAAGGUUUUUGGUAAAUUAAAUAGAAGAAGGGGUUGUGUUGAUGAA